AUUGAACGCUGGCGGCAUGCCUUACACAUGCAAGUCGAACGGCAGCAUGGAGAGCUUGCUCUCUGAUGGCGAGUGGCGAACGGGUGAGUAAUACAUCGGAACGUGUCCGUUUGUGGGGGACAACCGUCCGAAAGGAUGGCUAAUACCGCAUAAGACCUGAGGGUGAAAGCCGGGGACCGCAAGGCCCGGCGCAGACGGAGCGGCCGAUGAUUGAUUAGCUGGUUGGGGAGGUAAAGGCUCACCAAGGCGACGAUCAAUAGCUGGUCUGAGAGGACGACCAGCCACACUGGAACUGAGACACGGUCCAGACUCCUACGGGAGGCAGCAGUGGGGAAUUUUGGACAAUGGGGGCAACCCUGAUCCAGCCAUGCCGCGUGCGGGAAGAAGGCCUUCGGGUUGUAAACCGCUUUUGUCAGGGACGAAAAGCUCCGGAGUAAUAUGCCGGAGUGCUGACGGUACCUGAAGAAUAAGCACCGGCUAACUACGUGCCAGCCGCCGCCGUAA
rnacentral:rRNA from 1 species